UACGGGGGGGGCAAGCGUUGUUCGGAAUUACUGGGCGUAAAGGGCUCGUAGGUGGCCAACUAAGUCGAACGUGAAAUCCCCGGGCUCAACCCGGGAACUGCGUCCGAUACUGGCAGGCUUGAAUUCGGGAGAGGGAUGCGGAAUUCCAGGUGUAGCGGUGAAAUGCGUAGAUAUCUGGAGGAACACCGGUGGCGAAGGCGGCAUCCUGGACCGAGAUUGACGCUGAUGCGCGAAAGCGUGGGGAGCAAACAGG
rnacentral:rRNA from 1 species